GUCCCGUGACGUGCUCUGCGUGGCGCCGCCUGCCGCCGUGGCGCUGCAGCCGCCCCCCCUCACCGCCCCCCCCCCAGCCCCCGGGGGCAGCGGGCUCGGCGCCGCCGCUUCAGGCCGCGCCCGCCCGGCCCGGGGCUCCCCGCGGGUUCCGUAGCGGCCGGUUCGGGUUGUGUGGGGAGCUCGGCUCUUCGUGAGGUCAGCCGGGACGUCAGAGCGCUGCUCCCCGCCUGCGGAGAGCGGGUUCAGGCCGCUUCCCCAGGCCUGGCGCCGGGGCUGCUCGCGGGGGCCAUCCGGGUCGCAUCGCCCUGCGGGGCGCGGUCGGUGCCGGGGCUGGAGGGGCUCCGUGGGAGAGCGGAGGGAAGGGCCCCGGCUGCCCGUCACCCCGCCGCAGGCAGAGCUCCAGCCCUCGCCGCAGGGGCCCUGCGGGGACUUCCCGCGGCCAAGUGACCGGGCCUCGGCGGGAGCGCGGCGGAGGAGCGCGUGCGGCGAGGCUCCUUCCCCGGCGCCCCGUAACGCGACGGUAAUUCGAGGUUUCAGCGGAAGACAAAGGGGAAUCCCAGGAAACCGCAGGCUGCCAGCAAACGUCUGGAGGACGGAGGCAUGUUGGGGACCCCUGGGAGUCAGCUGGCAAAUCUGAUGCACUGGAAUCCAUGGCAAAACCCACCCUGGGGAGAGGCGUUUUGCCCCUGAGGGCCAUUGGAUCCCCUGCAGGGUCAUGACCUGUUUGUUGGAGGUCCUCGAAAGGUGACUAAGAAAUGCAUACUUAGAUAUGUGAUACAGGAAUCACCAGCGAUAUCCUCCUUUCCACCAGGGAAUACUGAAAAUUGGAAAGAUCUGAAAGCUUCUGCUUAAAGCGCAGGGCUUUCUGGCUACGGAGUCCAGCUCUGCCACUGGCUUCUAGCGUUAAAUUGGAGUGAGUCACGUACCUGCUCUGUACUUCAGAUUGCCCACAGAUCUGCAUCCUGCAGCGCAGCUCACAACUUGCGUGUCUCAAAUACUUUGGGACUUUCAUGUGGAGAGUUUUGAAAUGGGAAAAAUUCGCUGUUACCAGCUAUUUGGAUGCAGAUUGGCAGCACAUUGAAUCCAGUUCAUAGUGCCUUGAAUUAGAGGGAUAUGUUGUGUCGAGACAGAAAAGAGGAUGGGAGGAAACUGAAAACCGCUGCUCCGAUGCCACGGAGUGCUCGAACGUACACCUGGCAUUCAGGCAUUGAAAUCAACCCUGCUGGCACGGUGCUGCAAGUGAUUAAGAAAAUUCUAAUGAAAUAUUUGCCUCCUGGAAAACACUAUUUUAUCCAAAAUGAAACCUUUGCAAGAAGAAAAAAAUCAAUUUACAGAUCAAACAAAAAUAGUCCUAAUGAAGCAGUGCAGCACAGCUGGAAAUCUCCAAUCUGAUUUGUCAAAGUGAAUAUUAGUAUUCACUUUUUAUUUGUAAUUUCACCAUCUGAAACAUGUUUUGUUACAAUAUUAUGAUAAAAUAAGGUCACUAGGAAAAGUUGCUUUUUAGAAAGCAAGCUAUUUGCGGUACUUUUGUAAAUCAGAGCUAUCAGCGCGAAAACUACUUCCAAACACCCUGAGUUUUCUGAAACCUAGAAGUGUUGCCCCAGCUCUGCGUGAUGUAUUUGGGAGGGACUGGGGGAGCGGGAGGAGGGACUAUAAAUCCUAGAGAAAAUGGAAAUUUUCCUGCCUGUGAGACACGUGAAAUUCCAGGUUGUGUUUUUGUGGAGGCGUGUUGGCUUCUCCGUCGUUGUGCCGCUUCAGGGAGAGGGCAAACAAACAUCUGUCAGCAACAGCGGGGAGCGGGUGGCUCUGCCGGGGUGAGGCUGCCUGGGGUCCCUUCCACUCCUGACUUUCUAGCAGUCUGUUUCUCUGCUGCCCCUUUUCCCAGGGAGAGCCAGGGCGGCAGCCCUCCCUGCUGCACUGCUCCGAGGUGUGCCAGGUGAGGUCCGGAGGCUGUUAGCUCUCCUGUGCCGUGGUCUUCAGUGCCCGGCUGCCCAGAUGGGGUUUUUGUCAUUUGCAAAGGGCUUAAAUUCUGAAAAUGUUUUAAUACCACUGAGCAGGCAGCCGAGGAAAGACUCCAUCAAAGUAUAAACAAAUUCUGAGCGCCUGAGUCAGGAGAAUGACACAAACUAACCCACCCCUUAAAGUGCCUGUGACCACAAACCACAACACUGCAGAAAAGGAGACGCACUUUUCUUUUCUCGAUCUAAGUCAUAAAAAUUACUUACCAAGGUGACAAAUUUAUGGCUGCAGUAAUUACAUGAUUACUUUAUUAUGUGCCACCAGUGUGAGAAAAUAUAUAUUAAAAAGUCACUUACGUCCAAACCAAAAGGGCCAGCAAAGAAUUAUUGGAGGCAGUAAAUAACUGUGACAUGUACAAUUAUUUACUUGGUUGGAAGCUAGAAUUUCAGAUUGAAAACCAGCAGUCGUGUUCAGAGGCUUUAGGUGGUGGUGGCAGCUGGUCGGGCUGGGACCGGCCUGUCCCUGCUGCUGCCCGGGGGUGGCACUCGGCUCCUGGGCAGGUGGGUGCUGGCACCGUACAGGGUCGGCCCGGUCCGACUGUGAACUCUCCGGGGUAAAUC